UUUGCUAGCAUCGGACGGAAGUAGUGAGACAGCGUGCUUGCUGUCAGGAAAAAACGCGUGUGUGCCGUGAAUUGGGCAUAAAGAACCCUCGAGUGGAAAAAUAAAAAGAGCUCGCGAUCCGCAAAAGAGCGUCAGAACUGGUAACGAGUGGAUCCACACUGCACACAUCACUUUCCUUUUCCGAGGUCCACCAACGGCCGAGCAAAGACCGACGCCGAUCCGAUAGGAGAAUCCAAAAAGAAACCCUCCGCCACACCCGGAACGAUUGCCAUCGGGGAAAAUCCCAUGCAAAAAGGGGUCUACAAAGGCCCCUUUUUUUCUUUCUACCCCAGUUUCAUCACCACACGUCUCAUCCGGCGAUUGACUUCCGGCGGAGAGAACCUCCGAAGGAAAAGAACGGCAAAAGGGCCAAGGUGGUGGCCAAAACUGGCUACCAGCAGAAACGACGGUGGAAUCGUCCACAGGGCGAAUUGGCAGCUUCGCAGCAGGCAGUUGGCUGUACCAGUGGCAGCACAAGGGUGGCCACCAGCCACAUAUCAUCUUCAGUUUCGUCCCCACUGCACCGGCAAUUGCAUCAUCGGUAAGCGGUCCUAUUUGUGAUCGUUUCGCUGCUUCAGCAGCACAAUUUAAGGCGGUUUCGGCAGGAAAAUCGCCACCUGCGGCGCCAGCUUCACGUUUUCGAUCCCAUCGUCGAUCGAAUCAAUUGGGACAUCGGUCCCCGAGGUGCUCGCAAUCCGCUGCGUCCGCAGCAGCAUCGGUCGAGGUGAUUGGUGUCGUCGGUUUAAAGCAGCUCCAGCAGGAAUUUUCUCACCACAUCAGCAUCCACUGUGCCUUUUCGGUUCGACCAUCAUUUCGUGGCUCAUGUGCUACCGGUCGGUUACUACGUCAGCAGGAUUUUCCAUGCCGCACUGUCAGCUGUGGCAUCCGUGGCCUGGUCGGCCGCACAAAUUCAACGGAAGCGUAAACCGCGCUCACUCAACAGGUCAGCUAGCCGCAACGACGGUGGUGCCCAGACGCAUCAGCUCCAGCAGCACAAGCUGCUUUCCAGUUUGCACCACAGCAUCAGCAUUUGCGUUGGCCAGCGAAUCCAUCAGCAGCGCAGGCUGCUAUCCAUCUGUGGCAUCGGCCACUUGGGCAGAACGAAGACGGCAGCAGAUCCGAAACUAGCACCGAAGGCGGCGAAGGAAAGUUUGCCCACAUCAGGACAGAGGAUGAAGCGGAACCGUGGCCACACAGUGCGCUGCAGCGCUUUCAUGGAGGAUGCCGUAAGUGACAAAUAAUAUCUGAUCGCAAUGUAAUAGGGGAAUGUGGGGUAAAAUGUUGUCAAAAUUAUAAAGCAAACUAAAAUUUAAAA